AGACAAGAAUCAACAAUAUGAAGGGGGACGGAAAGAAAAAGAAUCGGCUUAAGGAUCAACAAUUCGGUAGCAACCAAUAGGAAUAGAAAGGAGGUGACCGCAAGAAAAUGAAGAAAGAAAAGAUGGGUAGGGAAGUGUGCAAAAUCGAAAAGAAGAAAAAAACAAAAAGAAGUAGCAGAAACUCACUAGCAAUAUUUGGCAGAGGAAGAAAAAAAAAUUGACAGAAAAUUGAGAGAAAACAAAAGCUAAAGCCAAAUUUUGGGAAAGGAAUCAGUUUCGGCACCAAUACUGAUCACCUCCCUUGAUCCACUCCUAAAAACUCUCCUAUUAUCCCUCCACAAAACGUCCACUUCCCACCACACCUCAAAUUUCUUAUUUUCCUCCACCAAUCACACAACUACUGAAAUCUCCCUCAUAAUCCUCCUAAAAAUCGACCACAACCUCUCCACACUCCUCAAAUACUCAGAAUUUUGGUCAAACUGUAACACUCAUACUACAUAAGCAGUAAAAAU
rnacentral:lncRNA from 1 species